rnacentral:rRNA from 1 species
GACGAACGCUGGCGGCGUGCUUAACACAUGCAAGUCGAACGGAAAGGCCCUGCUUUUGUGGGUUGCUCGAGUGGCGAACGGGUGAGUAACACGUGAGUAACCUGCCCUUGACUUUGGGAUAACUUCAGGAAACUGGGGCUAAUACCGGAUAGGAGCUCCUGCUUCAUGGUGGGGGUUGGAAAGUUUCGGCGGUUGGGGAUGGACUCGAGGCUUAUCAGCUUGUUGGUGGGGUAGUGGCUUACCAAGGCUUUGACGGGUAGCCGGACUGAGAGGGUGACCGGCCACAGUGGGACUGGGGUACGGCCCAGACUCCUACGGGAGGCAGCAGUGGGGGAUAGUGCACAAUGGGCGGAAGCCGGAUGCAGCAACGCCGCGUGGGGGAUGACGGCCUUCGGGUUGGAAACCGCGUUCGCCUGUGACGAAGCGUGAGUGACGGUAAUGGGUAAAGAAGCACCGGCUAACUACGUG